CCAGCCCAAACUGGCGCCUACGGCAGCGUCACUCGGUCGCACCGAACCAAACACGACCAACCCAGAUUGGGCGGGCGAUUACUACCCCGAUUCCCAACCUAGCGGCGGCGGCGGCGCUUCCACGUGCGGUGGCCGCCGUCUCCCUCGGUCCACCUCCCAUCCGGCCAGCCCUCUCCUCACUCCCUCCCCCCGGCCUCCGGCCUUCGCCGCCCUCCCUGCCGCCAAGGCCAGGGGCAAGUCCGCCUCUGCCCUCCGGUCUCCCUGGCUCGGCUCGCCCUGUAGGGCUGUAGGCGCCCACCACGGCACGUCUCGACCUCCGGCAGUCCAGCCUCCGUGGCUCCGUCGAAGAAUACCCAGGAGCAAAUUCCUGGCUCCGCCACUGCCUUGACUGCAGAACCUAACGAAAGGGGUGCCUCCCCAGGAGGAUCUCGUGGAUGCUGGUGGGAUGGGCGGUUGAGGUUGAGGGAGGCUCGUGGGCUGGAGCAGCAGGACGAGAAGCUCGAGGUGGUUCCGGCCUUCCGGGGGCGUUGCAAGGAGUGAAGGUAGGGGUCACGUCGACCGGAGCAGCAGGAGCAAGGAUCUGACAGCCUCUGCCUCCCCGUUGCACGCCACCACUGCAUCUCCUUCCUGUUGAGCUAUAGGUUGGCUUGAUCUCUUGUGUCAGGGAGGUGCGAGGUUGGGUAUGUUGGCAAUGGCAGCCACGGUUUCAGCGAAGGGCGCCCAUGCCAUGUGCAAUGACAGCAGCAUUGUCACUGGGAUAUGCCAUUAGCAUGACACAGGUGCCUUAGUGUGUGUUCUGCUCUAGGUUGUGCAGGACAAGUGGUUGAUCCAUAGCUUCUUUGUGUAAGGAAAAUUUUGCAGACUAACUUUCUAACCAUGUAAUAGUUUUGUAUAAAGUAUUGCUAAUUUACAUAACUUCUAUUCAAGUCCUAUCUAGAUUGAAAUCUUAAUCUUGCAUUUUGUUUCUGACGUAAUCUAUGUGGCUGCUCCAUCGACGAUGACGAAAUCAUCCACUAGGAAAGGAGGCAUGUUGUGGUGAAGCACGAUACACACUCAGCACUCACCAAGUUCAGGUUGCUUUUCUUAGUCACAAGGGAUGUUGUGGCUUCGUCGUCCUUCUUGUAGUCAUAAGGGAUAUUUUUUGUGGUAUGAUUUCCUGUAGUCCAUUUUGCAUCUGAUAAUUUUGGAGUUUAAAUUCUAAUAUCCGUACUAUAUUUAUUGGGUCCUUCCAUCCAACUGUUCGAAGUAAACCAGUUAACAUGAAUUUUAUGUGUUUAUAUUUCAUCUUCAUCUGCCGAUCUACAAUACUAGAUGUGUAUGUAUCCUGACACUUGCCAACAAAUUAAAUGACCCUUGAAAGUUUCUCUUCUAUAAUGAGCUUUCAUGUAGUGAUCUUAUUAUAUUAGAGUCUAGAAAAAAAACAGACUUUUUUUUUCUUAUUGCGAAUGGACAAAUCUGAAGGGGAGCCUUGGCGCAGUGGUAAAGCUGCUGCCUUGUGACCAUGAGGUCACGGGUUCAAGUUCUGGAAACAGCCUCUUGCAGAAAUAUAGGAAAAGGCUGCGUACAAUAGACCCAAAGUGGUCGGACCCUUCCCCAGACCCUGCGCAAGCGGGAGCUACAUGCACUGGGGCUGCCCUUUUUAUUGCGAAUGGACAAAUCUUCUGUGUUGAUAGUGAGGAACAAUAUUUAAACCCAUGUAGAAGGGACCAGACGAAACUGCAACCUUCUGAAAGUUUGAUUUUUGUGCUGCGGAGAUGAAACAAUCAAGCAGAUAGGAUGAAUUCAAGCCUGGUGGUUGCCGACACCAAAUCUGUUUGAUGCAUUGGUUCUCCGGCACCAAUGCAGCACCGUCGUCCCCUCUAACCUUCAGAUUUGGAGGAAAAUUUCAUGCAUGUUAUUGCUGCAUUAGUAAGAACGCUCGCCAGCUGGGAUGGCAAGCGCCAGUGAGCGCUGCGCACGGUGUAGCAGGUUGGACAAGCAGCGGGAGCGGCAGUCAAGACCACAGGCGGCUUGUCAAGAGAAGCGGGCGCAUCUGAUCCCGAUACAUCAGGGUAACUGCCAUUGGAGAGCACCGACGGCGCGGUAAGCAGUAAAGAAGGAGAAGUCCUUAAAUAUUCAAUUGGUACAUCAAAAUCUUGAUGAGUUGCAGACCAAAUCUGGAAAUGGGAAUGUUCACGUCAUCAUAUUUGCUUUCUUGACCGGCGGAGGAUGGAUUCCAACAAGGACAAAGUGAAUGAUAAGGUGCAUUUGAGGAAUUGGUUGUCCCAGGAGGCUCUGCGCACAUACAAGAGACGCCGGCAGCCUGAGGCUGAGCCGGAGCCCAAGCCCGUGGAUGUGCCGGAGCAGCAGGUGUAAUCUUCAAUUAAAAUCUGUUCGUAUUACAUGGACUUCAGUUACAAUGUGGCACAGUUAGGGUUUCACACUAGCCAAAGCAUUUAUUUGGCCUGUUAGUUGCAUGUG